ACGUAGGGUGCGAGCGUUAAUCGGAAUUACUGGGCGUAAAGCGUGCGCAGGCGGUUAUAUAAGUCAGAUGUGAAAUCCCCGGGCUCAACCUGGGAACUGCAUUUGAGACUGUAUGACUAGAGUGUGGCAGAGGGGGGUGGAAUUCCACGUGUAGCAGCCAAAGGCGUAGUGAUGUGGAGGAAGACCGAUGGCGAAGGCAGCCCCCUGGAUUAAUACUGAUACUCAUGCGCGUAAGCGUGUGGUGCACACAG
rnacentral:rRNA from 1 species